GAUGAAGAACGCAGCGAAAUGCGAUACUUGGUGUGAAUUGCAGAAUCCCGUGAACCAUCGAGUCUUUGAACGCAAGUUGCGCCCGAAGCCACUAGGCCGAGGGCACGCCUGCCUGGGCGUCACACGCCGUUGCCCCCCCAUCUACUCCUUCGGGAUUGCGGGGGGGCGGAUGAUGGCCUCCUGUGCGCCUAGCCGCGCGGUUGGCAUAAAUACCAAGUCCUCGGCGACGCACGCCACGACAAUCGGUGGUUGCGAAACCUCGGUUGCCCGUCGUGUGCGUUCGUCGCGCAUCGAGGGCUCGAAAAAAUGCUCGGCUCCGGCUGGGCUUUCAACGCGACCCCAGGUCAGGCGGGGUUACCCGCUGAAUUUAAGCAUAUCAAAGCGGAGGA
rnacentral:misc_RNA from 1 species